rnacentral:rRNA from 1 species
CCUACGGGUGGCAGCAGUGGGGAAUAUUGGACAAUGGGCGAAAGCCUGAUCCAGCCAUGCCGCGUGUGUGAAGAAGGCCUUCGGGUUGUAAAGCACUUUCAGUGGGGAAGAAAGCCUUGGGGCUAAUACCCUCGAGGAAGGACAUCACCCACAGAAGAAGCACCGGCUAACUCCGUGCCAGCAGCCGCGGUAAUACGGAGGGUGCGAGCGUUAAUCGGAAUUACUGGGCGUAAAGCGCGCGUAGGCGGUCUGAUAAGCCGGUUGUGAAAGCCCCGGGCUCAACCUGGGAACGGCAUCCGGAACUGUCAGGCUAGAGUGCAGGAGAGGAAGGUAGAAUUCCCGGUGUAGCGGUGAAAUGCGUAGAGAUCGGGAGGAAUACCAGUGGCGAAGGCGGCCUUCUGGACUGACACUGACGCUGAGGUGCGAAAGCGUGGGUAGCAAACAGGAUUAGAUACCCUAGUGGUC